rnacentral:rRNA from 1 species
UAGGGAAUAUUAGAAAUGGCCGAAAGUCUGAUCUAGCAACACCGCGUGUGCGAAGAAGGCCUUCGGGUCGUAAAGCACUUUUUGGAAGGAAUAGGAAGGAAUGUACUUCCAGAAUAAGUCUCGGCUAACUACGUGCCAGCAGCCGCGGUAACACGUAGGAGGCGAACGUUAUCCGGAUUUACUGGGCGUAAAGCGCGUGUAGGUGGUACUGUAAGUAGGGCGUGAAAGCUCCUGGCUCAACUGGGAGAGGCCGUUCUAAACUACAGAACUAGAGGAUGGUAGAGGGAGGUGGAAUUCCAGGUGGAGCGGUGGAAUGCGCAGAUAUCUGGAGGAACACCGGUGGCGAAGGCGGCCUCCUGGACCAUUCCUGACACUCAGACGCGAAAGCUAGGGUAGCAAACG